rnacentral:rRNA from 1 species
CAAUAGCGUAUAUUAAAGUUGUUGCGGUUAAAAAGCUCGUAGUUGGAUCUCGGCAGGCAGGGGGUGGUUCGCUCUUAGCGCUACUGCCCCAUUUGCCUGUGUGAUUGGCGGAGGUUUCGGGGUGCUCUUCGUUGAGUGACCCGGGGCGCCGUCAGGUUUACUUUGAAAAAAUUAGAGUGCUCAAAGCAGGCUUUUCACGCUUGAAUAUUCGUGCAUGGAAUAAUGGAAUAGGAACUCGUUUCUAUUUUGUUGGUUUUCGGAAAUCGAGUUAAUGAUUAAUAGGGACAAUUGGGGGCAUUAGUAUUCAGACGACAGAGGUGAAAUUCUUGGACCGUCUGAAGACUAACUGCUGCGAAAGCAUUUGCCAAGAGUGUUUUCAUUAA